rnacentral:lncRNA from 1 species
GUUCCUAACUGGGGUGCUGGGGCAAUGUCCUUCGGUCGGCACAUCAAUCUAGUGCAGUUGUGCUGGUAUCGGCCUCGUUCAUCCCGUGUGUGCUCAGUGCCAUCCUGGCAUGAACACGGAAUAUGCAGAUCUGGGGGAUACACGUUAAUAGUGGGUCCAUCUGCUAGGAUCUUUUAUUAAAGAGAAGUGUGAAUGCAGUUGCCAUGCAAUCCACUCUUACACACAAAGACCACGAGUUACGAAAACAAGAGCAAACAUCUCCCGAUUUUGCCUUGCUGGUAGCACACAUUCAUCAUUUCUGCAGCUGAUUUUGGCUUUAAUUUAGAAAUCUUCACAAAAACGAACUUGGAGUGAAAGAGCUCAACAGUUAGCAGUGACUGUGCAUAGACGCACGCACAGCCCUUCCUCUGCAGUGACAGACAGGAUAUUACUUUCCCACUGCAUAUGAAAUUAAUACCAGAAAGCAUAAGAAAAAAGCAUGUAAAUUCCAGCCCUUAAAGCCCGGUCUGGAGGAUGCUUCUGCUGCCUCAGACAGCCAUAACCUGGAGGAGAAGUAGCUGUUCAAAUUAAAAGCAAGAGAAUCCAUGGGCUGCUGAGUGAUGAGGCAAACGCUGAGCGUGGAGUCGCAGCCCAGUGCCGAUUCAUUCAACUCCAUCCAAAAGGAAAGCCUCCUACAGCCCGUUGCUCUCAGAACUGCUGUGUCCUCCGCCUGUCUCUCCCAUGGACGUGUGCAGUUCCAUGCUAAUAGAUCGGGGGGAGCGCGCUGUAAUUCGUUUAACAGUUGGCAGGUCAGACCUACGUGCCCUAGAGAGGCAAGUGCUGAUUCGGAUGUGGAGGGGAGAAGGUGCCCUGGUGACAUCAAGCCAAGGUGUCCAUGAUGAUGAGCACUCCUCACCCAGGAGCUGCCUUUUGCCCACCAGCCUGCAUUGAUGGAGAGCUUUUGCUGCCAUCGUGGCUCUGAUGUUCACGCUCAUCCCAGAAGGCUGCGCUGAGGAAUUGCUCCUUUAUUCAAGGGCACUGAGAUCAGAAGUACAAGGCAGCCCAUAUUCUCCUCCUUGUUUCACAGAUAUUGAGUGGGCAGGAGAGUAAGCAAGGAGACAGGUUUUUUUUUUUUUGCAUAUUUUCAGAAUGCAAAUAGAUGAGUGAGCUCAGCUCUCUAUUCAUUGCUUCCAACAUACAUGACACAGAUGAUGCUGUUCCCAUUGUCAGACUGAAACCGGGGGCUUGAUGACAAGAAACUCGCUGAGUUUCCAUCUGCACAAGGCUGGGAUGGUGGCUGGGUAGGGAAAGUCACCGCACUUACAUACGUCAGCUCCACCGACCACGUCCACAACAUACAGGCUGUGUUUGGGAUCUGCAAAGCCAGUUUUGCUCCCAGUUAUUCCUGCAAGAUCAGCUCUCAGAGCUCCUUGGUGUGGCCUCAUUUGCACCUACCCAGGGGACUGCCCCCUCUUCCUUCCAGCACAGGUAUGGCUCUGCUCCUUGGGUUGGAGCCAGCAAAACUACUGAAGCAGCAGCUGAUCGAAGCGGUGCGUGGCUCAAGAAAAAGUGUUAAGAUUGAUUAUAUAUGUAUUUAUUAAGUUCCAGCGAGGCAAACAGCAUAUUAGCAUAACUGGGUCAAUUAUUUGGCAAUCAGCACAUGCGUGCCUGGGAGGGAAGCAUGUGCAGAAAUCUGCUGUUUUUGUGCAGCUGAACACAUCACCUGCUUGGAAGAGAAGAAAUAUGUUUAUUCGGGUGCUAAAGAAGAGAGAAAAAAGAACAAGUCAACCUUCCCGAGCUAGCUGAUUAUGCAUUUUCCACAUCAAAUUGUCAGCAUUUAUUCAAUUACUUCACUCAUUACAAGUUUGUUCUUCAACCACUAACCUAAAAACCCUCCCUGCUGCUGUCAGCUCCAUUAGAAGUGACACAUCCCUUCCUCGGCUUAAAAAGAAUUGGAAGGCAUCUUCUCCCAGCUCCAGGCUAUGGGCUGGGAGCUGCUUCCCAUCCCCGUUUCCCAGUGCCAUGCAGAGGGGCGGUGCUGGGCCCGUCCCUGGGAAGCCUCUGCUGCUCCCAGCCCCACACGGGGCUGUUUGAAAGCACUCCGAUGCUCCGAGGAGAGGAUGAGGGGAUUUGCAGGGCUCUGCCAAGGAUACAGAUGGGAAAGAUAAGGAAGGCUCUACCUUCCCCAAAAUCAAAUAAAUCUUCAGUGCUUCCUGAGCUGAUUCACUUGGCUAAGCUCUGAUUUGAUAUAUGAAACAGAAGACAAGGCAAGAGGCGAGGCACAGAAAACAACAUCUUUUCCCCAUGUCAAGGUGAAGCGCUUCCCAUCACCCAGCCCGUCUCCCCCGGAGUAAAUGGGCAUCCAUAACAUUUAAAUGAUCAAAGUUUUUCAGCGGAGGCGGCGAUGGGCUUUUUCUGACUUGUCAUGCUUGUUUUCCUCCAGCAGGCAGUGACCUGCCGCCGCUCAGCCUUGCAGUUUGGCACGCAGGAGCUUUUGGAGGAGCGUUCUCUCCCCAGCAGAACAGCAGCCUCAUGUUUCCCUGCACAACAACCUUUCUUAGCCUGAAAUGCUUUGCAUCCCAUUUCCUUGAUCUGGCUAAGCGCUCGCAUGCUGAAAAUCCCACCCUCCCUCCAGCUGUCCUUCUGGCAGGAAAGAGACAGCGUCUCCUCUCUGGAGAGUACAGUCACUGCUCCUUUGGUUAUCUAAUCAGGGAGGGCAAAACUCACCCAGGGCCUGCAAAAUGCAGAGAUUGCAUCUGAGGUCUCGUGCGCAAGGCGGGGAGCGGCCUCCCCUCCUGGAGCAGAUGCUCUCUGCCAUCUUCCCAGCCAGUUGCUCUAAGGAGAAGAUUUAGAGCACUCCAGGGACGGAGGCACCGGGCUGUUCCUUCUGCUGAUGGCAGUGUCUGCAUGUGCUGAGGAGCGGGCCCUGGUGUGCGCACACCGACAUCGGUGCAGGAAGAACAAGAGAAUAACCCCCCCCACCUUCCUGCACUGCACAUCACAGCUCUCUGUUGCUCGGUUUCUUGGCCCCUGUGUGGGUUUUCUGGUGUUUCUCAGAACUACAAAAUACGAUGGCCCUCUUCUUUUUCCAGCAUGGCUAUCUUACCUUUGCACAAAGCACAAGGCAGUGGGAAGCACAAACCCUCCCAUUCCCAUCACUCUGGGAGAUCUCUUCACAUCCACCUCACCGAGAACAAAAGGACAGCACAAGGGAUGGGAUAGGGAGGGUGAGCUGAGACAGACCUCCCAGCGGGACCCGGUUCAACCCCAUGGCACAGCAGCCGUCCCC